GGAUCCUCGGUUCCCCCUUUCCGGAGGGGGAUCAAAAGGGAAGCUGGGUGCAAAUCCCACACAGUCCCGCUGCCGUAAGGAGGAGCCCCGCCGCAUGAUGUCACUGGGAAACCGGGAAGGCGCGGUAGGGGCCAUGAAUCCAAGUCGGAAUACCUGCCGGGGAUC
rnacentral:ncRNA from 1 species